AACGAACGCUGGCGGCAGGCUUAACACAUGCAAGUCGAACGGGUGUAGCAAUACAUCAGUGGCAGACGGGUGAGUAACACGUGGGAACCUUCCUAGGGGUACGGAACAACUCAGGGAAACUCGAGCUAAUACCGUAUACGUCCGUGAGGAGAAAGAUUUAUCGCCCUUAGACGGGCCCGCGUCGGAUUAGCUAGUUGGUGGGGUAACGGCCUACCAAGGCGACGAUCCGUAGCUGAUCUUAGAGGAUGAUCAGCCACACUGGGACUGAGACACGGCCCAGACUCCUACGGGAGGCAGCAGUGGGGAAUCUUGGACAAUGGGCGCAAGCCUGAUCCAGCCAUGCCGCGUGAGUGAAGAAGGUCUUCGGAUUGUAAAGCUCUUUUGCCAGGGACGAUAAUGACGGUACCUGGGGAAUAAGCCCCGGCAAACUUCGUGCCAGCCGCCGCCGUAA
rnacentral:rRNA from 1 species